rnacentral:rRNA from 1 species
UAUACCUACGGGGCGCAGCAGUGGGGGAUAUUGCACAAUGGGGGGAACCCUGAUGCAGCGACGCCGCGUGGGUGAAGGAGCGUUUCGGCGCGUAAAGCCCUAUCGGCAGGGAAGAAGAUGACGGUACCUGAUUAAGAAGCCCCGGCUAACUACGUGCCAGCAGCCGCGGUAAUACGUAGGGGGCAAGCGUUAUCUGGAUUUACUGGGUGUAAAGGGAGCGCAGACGGCAGUGCAAGUCUGGAGUGAAAGCCCGGGGCCCAACCCCGGAACUGCUCUGGAA